CUUGACACAUUCCAUGUUAUGAGGCAUGAGGACUUAGUACUUGCGACUGAUCGUUUGACUACUUGCCAUUGUGCUCAUUCGCACAUGCUUGUGAGGGUCGCUCCCUACAAGCCGGCACUCCGGAGAUGGCCAUCGCGAUACAUAUUCGCCGUGCGGUAUUGGGCGCCGAAGUGGAUUGCCGUGGGCCAGGCUCAUCCUAGGGUGGGGAUGAUGACUACCACGGGGCCAUUAGGCUCGGCACCGGCCAGACAGCCU
rnacentral:lncRNA from 1 species